UCGAAGACUACGACGUUGAUAGGCAGGGUGUGUAAGCGCUGUGAGGCGUUGAGCUAACCUGUACUAAUUGCCCGUGAGGCUUGACCAUAUAACACCCAAGCAAUU
rnacentral:rRNA from 1 species